rnacentral:rRNA from 1 species
AUUGAACGCUGGCGGCAUGCCUUACACAUGCAAGUCGAACGGCAGCACGGGAGCAAUCCUGGUGGCGAGUGGCGAACGGGUGAGUAAUAUAUCGGAACGUGCCCGGUCGUGGGGAUAACGUAGCGAAAGCUACGCUAAUACCGCAUACGAUCUACGGAUGAAAGCGGGGGAUCGCAAGACCUCGCGCGAUUGGAGCGGCCGAUAUCAGAUUAGGUAGUUGGUGAGGUAAAGGCUCACCAAGCCGACGAUCUGUAGCUGGUCUGAGAGGACGACCAGCCACACUGGGACUGAGACACGGCCCAGACUCCUACGGGAGGCAGCAGUGGGGAAUUUUGGACAAUGGGCGCAAGCCUGAUCCAGCAAUGCCGCGUGCAGGAAGAAGGCCUU